rnacentral:rRNA from 1 species
CCCAGGCGUCGAGCGGCGGACGGGUGAGUAAUACUUAGGAAUCUGCCCAGUAGUGGGGGAUAGCUCGGGGAAACUCGAAUUAAUACCGCAUACACCCUACGGGGAAAAGGGGGCGCUUGCGCUCUCGCUAUUGGAUGAGCCUAAGUCGGAUUAGCUAGUUGGUGGGGUAAAGGCCUACCAAGGCGACGAUCUGUAGCUGGUCUGAGAGGAUGAUCAGCCACACCGGGACUGAGACACGGCCCGGACUCCUACGGGAGGCAGCAGUGGGGAAUAUUGGACAAUGGGGGCAACCCUGAUCCAGCCAUGCCGCGUGUGUGAAGAAGGCCUUUUGGUUGUAAAGCACUUUAAGCAGUGAAGAAGACCUAACGGUUAAUACCCGUUAGCGAUGACAUUAGCUGCAGAAUAAGCACCGGCUAACUCUGUGCCAGCAGCCGCGGUAAUACAGAGGGUGCAAGCGUUAAUCGGAAUUACUGGGCGUAAAGCGAGCGUAGGUGGCUUGAUAAGUCAGAUGUGAAAUCCCCGGGCUUAACCUGGGAACUGCAUCUGAUACUGUUGGGCUAGAGUAGGUGAGAGGGAGGUAGAAUUUCAGGUGUAGCGGUGAAAUGCGUAGAGAUCUGAAGGAAUACCGAUGGCGAAGGCAGCCUCCUGGCAUCAUACUGACACUGAGGUUCGAAAGCGUGGGUAGCAAACAGGAUUAGAUACCCUGGUAGUCCACGCCGUAAACGAUGUCUACUAGUCGUUGGGGAACUUGAUUCCUUAGUGACGCAGCUAACGCAAUAAGUAGACCGCCUGGGGAGUACGGCCGCAAGGUUAAAACUCAAAUGAGUUGACGGGGGCCCGCACAAGCGGUGGAGCAUGUGGUUUAAUUCGAUGCAACGCGAAGAACCUUACCUGGUCUUGACAUAUCUAGAAUCCUGCAGAGAUGCGGGAGUGCCUUCGGGAAUUAGAAUACAGGUGCUGCAUGGCUGUCGUCAGCUCGUGUCGUGAGAUGUUGGGUUAAGUCCCGCAACGAGCGCAACCCUUUUCCUUAGUUACCAGCGGUUUGGCCGGGGACUCUAAGGAUACUGCCAGUGACAAACUGGAGGAAGGCGGGGACGACGUCAAGUCAUCAUGGCCCUUACGACCAGGGCUACACACGUGCUACAAUGGUAGGUGCAGAGGGCAGCUACACAGCGAUGUGAUGCGAAUCUCAAAAAGCCUAUCGUAGUCCAGAUUGGAGUCUGCAACUCGACUCCAUGAAGUAGGAAUCGCUAGUAAUCGC